CAGGUUACCCAGGAAUGAAAUUGAUUCUAGCUUUGGUUUCUGAAAAGGGCUUCAUGAACACUGUCACAGCUAUGCUUUGAUAUAGCAUCACUGAUUUAUGGAAGAGGAAACUGAGGCUCAGAGAGGUUGAGAACUUCCUUCAAGGAGAAGCAGAACUGGACCUAACUCCAGGGCAGUUAGGCCCUAACCCUAAGAAGUUCUCAGAGAGGCUGAGAAUUCCUACAAUGAGGAAUUGCUGAUGGACGUCCAGCAGGCCUAACUCAGGGAGGCUGUCUGUUCUUCUGUGCUGCCUAAAGACGUCACUGGGUCCCUGGCCAAAGGUUAUCUCUCCUCCCUGUGAGAGAACUGCAGACAAGGACCAAGAGGAGAAAGUUUGAGCCUUGCCAGGUCGAUACUGGGUGCCGAAUGAGUGGCUCGAUCCCCAGAGCUAAGACACAGGGAACAAGGUAAUCAAAAGCCGCUUUGUUCUUCUGGAAGCUGCAGAGAAAGGGAACCUGGAAACCUAGUGUGCUUGCAAAAAGGCUGUGCCUACUUAUUAUCCCCUAAAAACUACAGGCUCUCCUGACCCCGUCUGUUGAAGGGCUCCACCCUGAAACCAGUAAUCCAAUUAAGAAACUUUAAGGAAUUGGCAAGUGAAAAAAAUCUUACAACUACUGGAUCUUCUGUCUGUAUUUAUAUGUGUUGUGUAUGUAUUGUUUAUAUAAAAGAGCUCUAAUUAAUUGGCUUAAAGAAAUAAACACUUAAAUAUUUUGUCAGGAAAAUUAAAACUAAUGCCUUUUAGUUCACAUGACUUUAACAAUCUUUCAGAAAUAAAGACAGUUUUAAAGGUUAUUGGUAAAAUAUAAACGUCUUCAAAAUUUAGACAUUUGGUCUAAAUUAGGUCAGAUAUUAAGUUUACUAAAUGCUUUAAGGUCAUAAACUGUUUCUUUGACUUUUGAAAAUUAUUUAAUUUAUCUACCUUGAAGCCAUUAAAUUCUAGAUAAGGCCUAGAGAAAUGUAGAAUUAACCAUGCCCCCUAAAUAUACACAAAAAAAAGGGUUAUAAAGAAAAGAGAUUUUAUAUAAGAAAAGAUCUUGUCUGGUAAAUUCUUGUCCUAAAGUAAAUUAACUGGCUAUUUAAAAAUAGAGAUGUUUAGGGCAAGACAGAAAGUCCAAACAUAUCAUAGAUUGUCUGUGUAAGUUGUAAAAAGAUUCGUGAAAGGGAAUUUAUACAAGAAAUGUUGUACAAUUCAAAGGUUGUUAGGCCUCCUAAAUGCUUCAUAAAAUACUUGAUAAAAUGCCACUAUGACUCUUACUGUACAACUUGCCUACUUUACAACUAAAUAAGGCCUGGGACAUGUGAAAUGAACUGUGCCCCCUAACUAUACUGGAAAGAGUCAGACCUUCUGGUGUCCCACAUCCAUACCUGGUAUAUAAUUAUCACUUACUAACCAGGUUUUUUAACAAAAAUAAAGUUACUAAGAGUUAACAGUGUUAACACGUAUUUGAGACUACUGAAUAAAGACUUCUACACACAAGGUGUGUAAGGAAAGUAGAAUGUACUUUUGGUAUAAAAAAAUUAUAAAAAGAUCUGGGAAUGUGGAUUUCUUGCCUCAGUUUAGAGGCUUAAAGGAUUGUUUUAAGCAGGAUAGGAAAGAUCUAAAGGUUUGAACAAGUUGUGGAAGGUUUAUAAAAAAUUAGUUGUAAAAGAUUCUGUGUGUGAACAUAUUGACUAAAGUUAAAGUGACAUUACUCAGUUCUCCCAUAAAUUGGACAUUGGAAUAAAAGCACAACAGAGUUUUCUGAGAACAUUGUUCUGCAAUAAAAAAAUAUAAAGGGUUAUAAAAGGCUUAUACAAAUCUUACAGUCAAACUAAUUAAAACUGGAUACAUUUAUAGAAUUUUAUCAAAAACUAGCUUUAGCAUUAAAGAUGCACUAAUACAUCCAUGAAAUUUGUUUUUUUCUUUUGAAAAAGAGUUUUACAUAAUAUUGAGAGACACUGAAAGAUUUUUGUUUGCCUUUUAAGAAAACUACAAAAAUAAGGGGAGGGGAGGGAAGAGAGAAGAGGAGAGAAAACUGGCCUCAAACUAUAUUCACUGGGACUUGUUUAGAAAGCCAAGUCUCCUCUUCAUCAGAAUAAAGGUUUUUUUUUCCUUUUUAAAAUUUUUGAGUUAUCACUUUGGCUAAAUAAAUGACUUACGGUAACCUAGAAUUCUAUUUUGUAAUCUCCAGUGUUUUAAAUCUUUGAUAUUUAACCAACCUCCCAAAAUCAAACUUAAGUAAAAAACAAGAAAAAAAAAUUAGGUCCCCUGAAGUCCAAAAAAGACAUAUUUGACUUACUUAAUGUAUUAAAAUCAUACAGGAAACGUAAAAUAUAAAAUGGUGUUUAAUUUUCUUUGGUUUAUUUGCAUAUAAAUUUGUUAUUAGUAUGUGUAUACAUAAUUACAUAAGAUUUCUAUAAUUCUGAUAUGCCUCAGUAUAUGUCAUCAGUAAUAACUAUAAUUGUUAUGUUAAAUUAUUGUGUGUCACAGAGGUAACAAAUUUCUCUGUUAAUUGUGUCUUUGACUGUGGCUUCCCUAAAACUUUGUUGUCAUCCACAGAAAAUUGUUGUCUGGAUUUGGUCCUCUUUAAAAGUUGGUUUUAUGAUCAACUAUAAAACUCUGACAAGUGCUCUUAAGUACAAAUUUCUGAUAACUUUAAAGAUUAUUACAUUAGAGUAAAGGAAAAAAGCCUUUCAAGGCUCUCAUAGAGAACUAAAAUAUUAAUGAAUAUCAAACAGAAUAAGAAUUACCUAAAUGGACUGAACUAAUAGAAAACUGAAGUAAUCUUUUUUAACUUUUUUUGCUUAAAACAAUGCUGAUCCUUUUCAUUUUUCAGAUCCAAGGAAACCUUUCUUUUGAACUAUUUCCAACUUCUAACAAUUGAAUAAAAUAUACUCCUGUGAAAAAAAUUUAGAACAUACAUUUUUUCUCUCUACCUAAUUUCUCCACAAUUUAAAAAUUUUGUGAGCAUUCUUUACUUAUGACAAUAUGGUUAUUUACAUAAGUACAAUAAGAAUAUUUUCUUUUACAACAUAACACAAUUAGAGAAACUGGUUAUUUCACCAAGACUGACUAGAAUGACAUACUUUCCUUUAAAGAAUCAAACUUGACUUGUAGAACCAAUAAAAACCCCUUGAGAAAACUGGCCUCAUACCUUGUCCACACAGUCCCUAUACAGUGUUCCUGACCUGUGAUAAAUAAAGAAUGUCACUUUCUAACAGGCCCAGGUGCCCUAUGGUAUCUUGGGACCUCAAGAGAAGAGGAAUUUACCCAACUCAUAGGUACUUGAGGCUACAAACCCAUGACAGGACUUGGCUUUAAAAAGUCUUAUCUGAGAUUCCUUAUGGAACAGAGUUCCAUCAAAGCAAAAUUUAAAAGCCUAUGUAAAAAAUAACUAUUCUUACUGCACUUCAUACAAAUAAUCAGACCAAGUAUAAUAAAACUAAAAUUUAUUCUACAAACAAGUCAAUCCUAUUAUGAUUUGUUAAUAAAAAUAAGGAUUGGAAAGAGAAAAAUUGUGUUCCAAAAACUAUAGUACACCUGUUGUUGGUUGUUUUUGAGUUUUUAUUUUUAUUUUUCUUCAAUUUAGACUUAAUCCUAAAUUAUUUAUAGACUACAAGUCUCCAAACUAAUAUUUUCAAAUCUUUACUUUUAAAACUGAGAAUUAUACUCCUUAUCCUAUAACUCAUUUUUUACCUUAUAGUACAUUGUCCACUUAAAUCUGUGCUAAAACUAUAGAUGGGAAUACUAACACUUUUGUCAUAAAAGCCUUGGAGGCCGGGUGCAGUGGCUCACGCUUGUAAUCCCAGCACUUUGGGAGGCUGAGGUGGGCGGAUCACCUGAAGUCAAGAGUUCGAGACCAGGCUGACCAACAUAGAGAAACCCUGUCUUUACUAAAAAUAAAAAAUUAGCUGGGCGUGUUGGUGCAUGCCUGUAAUCCCAGCUACUCGGGAGGCUGAGGCAGGAGAAUUGCUUGAACCAAGGAGGCGGAGGUUGCAGUGAGCCAAGAUCACGCCAUUGCACUCCAGCCUAAGCAACAAGAGCAAAACUCCGUCUCAGAAAAAAAAAACCUUGGACUCCCAGCCCAGCCUAUGUGAGUAUGCUCAAAAAACUCAGACAACUACAAAGUGGUUCCACUCCUCUCACCUGGGAGUCAACUCCUACCCCCACUAUGCCCCCUGUCAGGAGAAAGAAGCCAGAGUGAUUGAUGGCUGUUUCCCAUCUGCAUAGCCCACACCUUAAGAAUAAGAUGCUUUGAAACCCAAAGGGAGGGAUUGAAACUGCUUUUGCAAAAAUUAUACCUAAGGAAAGUAUGACAGUGAAAGAGAUCAGAACUAAUUGACUCCAUCUUGCUUCUAACCUUUAAGCUGUCCUUUUUCAUUCCUGGGCAUAGGCCAAACUAACUUUGGGAAGAAAUUCAGGUCAUGGUUUGACUCUGAAACAAAACUGAUAAUAGCCCUUUCCUGAAAAGACCCCCUUCUUGUCUGGGGACUAGUCGGCCUUUGCAGGACUAACAAAUUAGCUACAAGAUUAGAAAUUACAGUUUGGAGGUCAUGCAACCUCUGGCUCCAAGAGUCUGAACCUCCCCAAAUUGCUCCUGGGGAUAACAUCACUAUUGUAGAACCUAAUAUCAGCGCUUGAGAUAUUUCGUAGACCAUACACUGGAUGGAUCAACUACCACCACCUAGAAUGGUAAUCUGACUCAACUAGUUCUGCCAUCCCACCCAGGAACAGAAGACAGCAAGAAAAUCUCAUUUCAAUCCCGCUAUGAUUCCAUUUCCAACCUGACCAACAGCACUCCCCACUUCCCAAGCUCCUACCUGCCAAAUUAUCUUUAAAAACUCCAAUCCCCAAAUGCUUGGGGAGAGUAAUUUGAGUAAUAAUAAAACUCUGGUCUCCCACACAGCUGGUUCUGCAUGAAUUACUCUUUCUCCAUUAUAAUUGUAUUGUCUUGAUAAAUCAGCUCUGUCUGGGCAGCUGGCAAGGUGAACACAUUUUCUCCCCAGUCUAGAGAGCGAAAACAGGAUCUUACAUUAUCACGAAUUUUCUAAACUCUUUUAUGACAUAAACUCAGCUCUGGAAAUCCUGUAUCUCUUUCUCUUAAACUAUUAUCUUGGCUUAUUUUGAAAGUCAGAAGCUAACCCAGCAUGAUUCACAAUAGCCAAAAUAUGGAAACUACCCAAACAUCUAUCAAGAGAUGAAUGGAUAAACAAAAUGUGGCAUAGCCAUACAAUUUAAUGUUAUUUGGAAAUAGAAAUAAGUACUGACGCAUGCUACGACAUGGAUAAAGCAUGAAAACAUCAUGCUGCAUGAAAUCAGCCAGACACAAAAGGACAAAUAUUGUAUGAAUCCAUUUAUAUGGGCCUAGAAUAGGCAAAGUCAUAGAGACUGUGUGAUAGAGGUUACCAGGGGCUGGAGACAGUGGGUACGGGAAGUUAUUAUUUAAUGGUGUUUUAGUUUGCUAUGGCUACUAUAAUAAAAUACCAAAACCUGGCUAGCUUAAAUAAAAAUAGUUCAAUAAAAAUAGUUAAAAUGGUAAAAUGCAUUUUCUCAUAAUUCUGGAGAACAGAAGUCCGAUAUCAAGAUGCUAGCAGGGUUGGAUUUCUCUCUCCUUGGCUUGCAGAUGGCUGUCUUCUCCCUGUGUCUUCACAUGGUCUUUCCUCUGUGCCUGGCUGUGGCUGUGUCCAAAUCUCCUGGUUUAUUUAUUUAUUUAUUUAUUUAUUCAUUCUUGAGACGGAGUCUCGCUCUGUCGCCCAGGCUGGAGUGAAGUGGCGCGAUCUUGGCUCACUGCAACCCCGCCUCCCAGGUUCAAGCAAUUUUUCUGCCUCAGCUUCCCGAGUAGCUGAGACUACAGGCAUGUACCACCACAAUUUUUGUAUUUUUAGUAGAGAUGGGGUUUCAUCAUGUUGGCCAGGCUGGUCUUGAACUCCUGACUCAAGUGAUCUGCCCACCUCGGCCUCCCAAAGUGCUGGGAUUACAGGCAUAAGCCACUGCGACUGGCCCAAAUCUUCUGUUAUUAUAAGGAUACCAGCCAUAUGAAAUUAAGGCCCACCCCAAUGACUUUGUUUUGACCUCUUGGAAGACCAUGUCUCCAAAUACAAUUACAUUCUGUGGUACUGGGGUAUAGGACUUCAACAUAGAAAUUUUGAAGACACAGAGCAGCCAAUAGCAAAUGAGGACAGAGUUUCUGUCUGGGAUCAUGAAAAAGUUCUGAAAGGGAAUAGCUGUGAUUGUGCAACAUUGUGAAUGUACUUAAUGCCACUGAAUUGUACACUUAAAAAUAGUUAAAAUGAUAAAUUUUAUGUUAUGUUUUACCAGAUUUUUUUUCAAAGAAAAAAUCAAAAGCUAAGCAACAUCUCUUUUGGUCUCUUGAUGUGUGGAAAGUCUUAGCUUCCUGGGCUGGAGGGAAGCCCAAGGGUGAAGGGGGAACACAAAGCUGUCUUUGGUAUCUCAGUGUUGACGGCCGUCAUGUGCAGAAGAGCAGACUGUGUCCUUGUCAAAGCCCACGGAUGUGCCAGUGCAAGAGCUACCACCUGGGGUGUCAGGCAUGGAGAGGGUGGGACUUCAAGUUUGGAAACAGCACAUGCCCAAUGCAUGAAGCUGCACAGCCUGCUCCUGAAGCUAUGGCCAGCAGGAAAAGACAGGAACCCUCGCAUGCUCAGGCCAGGACUUAAGUGGCUGGAUUCCAGUCCUGUUCUGCCAGCAACAUAUUUCAUAACCUCUCCAUCGGGCAAGUCCCUUCUCUAAGAACUGAGGACUAAACUCUGAGGUUUUUUAUCUUGCCCACAUUCCUAUCUAAGUGGUCUGGGGAGUCAUGCCUUACAAACCAUAAAGUCUCAUCAGAUGGAUUUUAUUUAAAUCCAUACAUCAUGGCUUACUUUCCAAAGUGACUCUGGCAUUUAACAUUACAAGACAAUCAAAGAAAAUAAAAAUAUUUUACCCCAAAGCAUGUUUCUUUGCCAUAUCUUGAAAUGGCCCUGCAAAACUGUCAUUUGUGGGGGAAAAUUUGCAUCUGUAAAGAAUCUCUAUUAACAUAGCUAGAUGUUUUUCUUCCAGGCCCUCCCAAUCCUAAUGAGAUUAUUAAAAGUUUAGCACCUUUUAAAGGUCUGAAUAGGAAACAUUUGUCAUCUAUUGCCUCUAAGGGCAGCCACGAUGAUAAGACUUCAAAAGAACCUUGGUCUCCACAAUCUUACAAUCUUUUUUUUUUUUUGAUGAAGUCUUGCUCUGCUGCCCAGGCUGGAGUGCAGUAGCACGAUCUCGGCUCACUGUGACCUCUGCCUCCCAGGUUCAAGCAAUUCUCCUGUCUCAGCCUCUGGGACUACAGGCACCUUCCACCACACCUGGCUAAUUUUUUUGUAUUUUAAGUAGAGGUGGGUUUUCACCAUAUUGGUCAGGCUGGUCUCGAACUCCUGACCUCAGGUGAUCCACCCACCUUGGCCUCCCAAAGUGGUAGGAUUAUAGGCAUGACCCACUGCGCCUAGCCAGUCUCUACAAUCUUUUUUCUUAACCUGAACAUUCCCUUUCUAUUCAUUCCAGGUCUUUACACAAACUCAUCCAAUUGUCAGCCAGAAAAUGUUUAAAUUCGCCUACAGUCUGGAAGGCCCCCCACCCCCAACUUUGAGUUGUCCCAUCUUUCUGGACCAAACCAAUGUAUUUCUUAAAUGUAUUUGGUUGAUGUCUCAUACCUCCUUAUAAUGUAUAAAACCAAGCUGUGCCCUGACCACCUUGCACACAUGUUCUCAGGACCUCCUGAGGGCUGUGUCAUGGGCCACGGUCACUCAUAUUUGGCACAGAAUAAAUAUCUUUAAAUAUUUUACAGAACUUGACCCUUUUCGUUGACAGAACUUUAGUUUUCUCACCACCAAAUGAAGGCACUGGACCAGAUUAUUUUUGUGUCUUCUCGAAACUCCAACAUUCUAUGAGUCUACCUAAAACAUUAGCGUUCUGACAAAUGUUAGUUGAAUGAGUCAAUGUAAACAGAAGGAUUUGUGUCCCCCUUGAGAGAAAACUGGGGGAAGUCCUGGGACCCUUUUAGGGCAGGGAGGAGCUGGAUGAACCUGGGCAUCUGCCGCCCUCGCCAACAGGAGUUGUGGGAGUGCUCCCUUCCCCAGGAGGUCACAGAAAACAAGCAUGUCCAGUGUGCCAGAGGAUUCGGACUGAGAGAACUACUCUUUUCCUUUAAGUGUGAUUGUUCAUCUCAGGAUAAAAUGGGAAAGGAAUGACCAAACCAACAGAACAUAAGAAAGAAGAACUCGGAGUCCAGGAAAGUCCUGGUGAGUGAGGGUGGAGGAGACAGAACCGUGGAGAGAGGGGCAUGUCCUCAGGAGAGACCAGGUCUCUCCCUCCUCUGGACUCUGCCCUGGGUUCUGCGGCUGUAGGUCAGGCGGGUAGGUAUCUGUGGGUGUUGUGGUGGUGUUCUUGUCUAUUUGGUGGGGGUGUGGAUUGAAAAACAAAGACGUCAUGUGGCUUUAGCUAAGAGGGAGGGAACAGAGAUACAACCACUAAAUCCCUUUCUUUUAAUUUUGCAAUAAUUGCAAUUUUUAAAGAAUUUUAAGACAGAUUCUUGGUAUUUGGAAAGCACUGAGUUCUUAGGAAAGAAGGUGCCGACUGCAUUGUAAAUACCCAACUUCUGUUUUCUGGGAAAAUCCAAUUUUCUGAAAGAAAACUGGAAUUAGAUAUGGCAUGUCAACUUUAAGUGCUAUUAUACGCACAAUUAUAAUAUGUUCUUUUGGCCUCGAAACUCUCAACUUGAAAAGGCGCAAUUUGCAAUCUCCUUGUGCCCAGAAGGCUCUGAAGAAGAAACACAAGUGAGAUAGGUACAGUUUGUGCUCAUUGUGCACCAGGGGGGAUGAGAAGCUCCACUAAAAUCAAUUUUCCCCUAUCUGAACCUUUCAUCUGGAAACAACAAAACAGUUUUCAGAUUCCAAUAACUUUGAAACAUUUACACAAUAGAGUACAGGCUUGCCUGUUCUCCUAACUAGCAUAUUCAGAACAUAAUUUAACCUUUUUCUUGUUGACUCACUAUGAAUCAUCAUUAUGAAUCAAAACUAUAGAAUUUUAGUACAAAAAGAGACCCUAGAGAUCAGCUAGCUCUGAUUUCUUCAUAUUCUAGAUGCCCAAAUGCUGGUGUGAUUGGAACUGGGUGUGGGGAGCUGGUCUAGAACCCACGACUUCAAUUCUUGUCCAGGCUGAGAAGGCCGUGUCCUGGGCCUGGCGCUCAUGGCAUGUUAACGGCGGUGGGGUGCCCCUGUGGUUGUGGGCGCCACCCAGGCCAGCUGCCCGCUGGCGAAAUGGGCUUGGUCUCUUCCUGCUCCGCACACUUUGACAUCAGCUCGUUGUGGCUCCCUGUCUCUGCUCUCCCGGGUGGCCAGUGACGCUGUGCGGGGUGCAGCGCCUGUGCUGUCUGCUUCUGAAGAAAAUCUCGACAAUUAGAAAGUCUUCAGUGGAGCUGGGAAACUGAAAACUUUCCAGGGGAAGCAGAAACCCAGGUUCUGUUACUUUGCUUCUGGAGACUUGAGCUUUGAUUGUAAGUGAAUUCCAGCCCUCUUGGCAGGAUGGUAGAGAGCAGUCUUCAACCUGGGACCCAUUCCUAGUUGUUGUACUCAUAUCCUUUUCAAAAGGUGGUUUUAUAAUCAGCUACAGGACUCUGACAGGUGCUCUCGAAGGCAGGUGUUUAAUAACUUUGGAGACUGUGACACUAGAAUAGAGGAAAAACUUCCAAGACUCUCAUAGACAGGAUACAGUUGAGGACAAUGGUAAUUUAACCAAGUCUUUGACUGGAGUUGCAUACUUUCAGAUAUAAAGAAACUGCUUUAAGGGAUCAGAGUUGACUUAGAAAGCCAAUAAAAGCCCCUUUGGAAAGCUGGCCUCCUACCUUGUCUACCCAGUUCUUGUACAGGUUUCUGACCUGUGCUGUGCCUUCUUAAAGGCUGGAGCCUGGAGCACAUGAGGAGAAUUCACAGAAGUGCCUGGAAAGGGAACUGCGGUGGAUCUUACAGAGACUUGAAACAUGUGGAGAAGUUUGGCUUUUAUUCAUAAAGGACAAAGUGCUGCCUCCACCUCCCCACCUGUCUAGUUUUAUUCAGUGAUGUCUAUCCUCAUGACUUGGGCCAUUUUCAUCAUCACGUCUAUUUGGUUACCUAGGUCUGCCGUUUUUUGUUUUUGUUUUUUCCCAAAUGCUUUCCACAUAAGAUGGCCUAGGUGUCAAUUGCUUAUCUCAGUGGAAUCAUUUCUACUCACCUAUAAAAUGGGAGUAAUAAAAAUGCUAUGUAUCCGAUUGUUGUGAGGAUGAAAUGGGAAUACUUGGACAUGGGGCCUGGUUGCUGGUGGAGGCAUCUGCUCUGUUCCCUGCUGCAUCCCUCACUUCCUGCCAUCCUCUUGCCCCACUUCUGCAGUGCUGAGUGACAGGCCCACAGCCUCCAUGCCCUCCUGUUCCUUCCUUCUCUGCUGAUCUUUUCUGUUUCCAGACACAUCUGCCACUACUGUCUGGUCCAAACACUCUUUCACCUAGGAAGUUUAAGCACGUUGUUGAACUAGAAAUAAUGUAUUCACUCAGUUACUUAUACACACAUUCUUUUCCCACUCAUUAAAAGUGGUUUGAAAAAUUUAUUUCAUUGUUCUUAAAGUGCUGAAUCAAGUGUUUUUCCUUUGGUUGGGAAAGGCCUUUGCCGUUUACCUUCAUCCACUCAUUCAUUUGUGAAGAUGUGUGUGCAGGCCCUAUGGUGACAGUGUCUGUCUAAAGUGAAGAGCUCAGCACCCAAACUCUAGAACAUCUGAAAACGUAGCUAGAUCCUGUGUUCUCUUCUCUAACAGAGUUAAAGUUAAGGUGCAUUUACUCAGUGCCUAGGGGGUAAAAAUGUGCGGUUCAGACUUCAACCAUGUGGGUGCUGUUUUUACCCAGAAUACCAACUGAUUCCAGGAAAGAGUAUUAGGAGAUUCAAGAUUUCUAUUUCUUUUGAACAUAUGUUAUUAGAGUUAAUUGUUAGGAAACUAUUUUAAAGAUAAUUAUUUGAAUACUGAAAAUGACUUUGAUUUCUAACAGGAAGCCAGGCUCACUUGUUACUUCCACAUAUGUGAUGAAGGCAAAAGACCACAGUUGCAUACAUUUGCAUAGUUAUCCUCGAGACUGGAAAUGUCAGUAAGAUGCAAUUGAUUGACUUGCUGAUUGUCUUUCCUCAUGUGAGCGUCUUUUCCAUGUUCAUGACCCACCACUGAUAUUCUGUGGAACUGAACUAAAACUAUGGUCCCCGAAGCCUUGUUGGGGGUGUGGAGGAAGGC
rnacentral:lncRNA from 10 species